GUGCUUGCGUUAGCAGCACAUAUAUUAGAGUUAGAAUGAUGCAGAGUAGAUUGUCAUGGGCUUGUGCAAGGAUGAUGUGAAAAUUCAUGAAGAGGUCCAUAGUUCU
ensembl:snRNA U6 U6 spliceosomal RNA